AACGAACGCUGGCGGCAUGGCUAAGACAUGCAAGUCGCACGGACCGUAUAGCAAUAUGCGGUUAGUGGCGAAAGGGAGAGUAAUGAAUAGGUAAUGUACCUUGGACACAGGGAUAACGCCGGGGGCAACCCCUUUACGAAAGUGGCGCUAAUACCUGGUGAAGUCGGGACGGGCAUCCCGUUGCGACCAGAGGGCGGGGAUCGUAAGACCUGCCGGUCUGAGAGCAGCCUAUCCUAUCACCUAGUU
rnacentral:rRNA from 1 species